rnacentral:rRNA from 1 species
CGCGUAGGCGGUCUCUUAAGUCAGAUGUGAAAGCCCGGGGCUUAACCCCGGAAGUGCAUUUGAAACUAAGGGACUUGAGUAUGGGAGAGGGAAGUGGAAUUCCUGGUGUAGAGGUGAAAUUCGUAGAUAUCAGGAGGAACACCGGUGGCGAAGGUGACUUCCUGGACCAAUACUGACGCUGAGGCGCGAAGGCGUGGGGAGCAAACAGGAUUAGAUACCCUGGUAGUCC